UUUUCAGAUACUGGUCACAUUUGUCUUGCAUUCAUUAUUGUCUAUGAGCAUUCGUAUUCCAAUUAGAAACAAGGGUCCCGCGUUGUAGCUCCUGAUUUUCUUCAAAAUAUUGUGUCUAUUUUACAGGAGUUUUACAGGAGAAGAUCAAAUAAUCAAGGCGUAGAUAAUCUUAUUCAUGCACAGCCCUGUUCAGCCAAUCAAGUGCAGUCGUUGGACAAAAUGGAGAACCAGAAGGGAAUAGCGCUCAGUAAAGUUAGUCCAGCAUUUCUAAAUGCCAACAGUACUAGUCAUACCUGGGCUUUUAGUGCAAUAGCAGAAAUAAUAGACAAUGCCUAUGAUCCUGAUGUUAAUGCUUCUGAAUUAUGGAUUGAUAAGAUGGAAGAAGGUGGUAAAACCUGCCUCACUUUCACUGAUAAUGGAGCUGGAUUGAAUGCUGAUAGGUUGUUAAAAAUGUUAAGUUUUGGAUUUUGUGAAAAAGCAAAAUAUGAGUCAAAAUCUGGACACAAGCCUAUUGGUCACUAUGGAAAUGGUUUUAAAUCAGGAUCUAUGAGAAUUGCCAAAGAUGUUUUAGUAUUUACUCAUCAUCUGAAGGAAAUGAGUGUUGGAAUGUUGUCACAGACAUUCCUUAGUAAAACCAAGGCAGAAACCGUAGUUGUGCCUUUAGUUACUUGGAACAGUAU